CGAACACCUCCGCGUCAGUCGCAGCGCGUCGCUCGCGCGCCCUGCGCGCGGUGGUGUGGUGUCAUACCCCGUCUGGUGGUGAAGAGGUUAGGCGCGCCCGACAUGGCCUCUCACGGGACUGCCAAGAAGUUGAUAGGGGCUCACAUCGGACCCUGCUCCUCGUCGUCGGCAAGUCGGACCACGCAGGGCGGACCAGCAGGAUUCGGCUGAAAGAAACACCCUCGACGUCGAUUUGGGGAAAUUCUGAAUUAUGUCCAUGGAUCAUAGAGAUGUGAUACUGUCGUGUGUUUGAUCAAGGAGGGUUUCUGACCCCGGCCGAGGUGCCCCUGGUGUGUCCUGAACUCCAUCUCGGGGCCCCCGGGCGCGGCGUGGCGUGGCGCGGUGGGGCGGCUUUCAUCAUGCCCACCCUUUCGCCCACUCCGUCACACCCAAGGAGCCCCGGAGGACGGCCGCAGGACGGCCGGCGGAGGAGGAUCUCAGCGGGGCUCCGGGGCAGGAUGGGGUCGGCAAGCGGGGAGGGGGCCGCCCCCCAAGCCAGGCCGUGGUGGCGGUGGUGAUGGUGGCGGCGGUCGUAGUGCCGCCCGCCUGGACCUUCACCGGAAAUGAAAGUGGGCGUCCGUCCCCCGGAGCAGCUUCCGGCGUACCGCAACAACACGGUGGUAGUGCCCCACAGGCACGCACUGCUUUGAUUCAUCAUCCCGCGUCACCGUCAUCAUCACCGCUACCAUCGUCGUCGUCGUCAAGUUGGCAGCAAGGGCCAAGGGUCCGUUCCGUUUGCCGUGCUUUGCGCCAGCGGCCCAUCAUCCUACACGACAAGCGGCUCGCGAGCUUGCACGCCCUUCUUGGCUUCCAUGAAUGGACCUCAAACCACACAAACAAUCUAAGCACGCCGCCGACGCGACGACGGACGCCUGUCCAUGUGCAGCCGCCAGACCGAGACCAGGAGGAGAGCGGCGGCCCGGGCGGAGCAGGGAGCCCCGAAGCGGAGCGCGAAGCCGAAGCGGACGCGCAUGCAUAUCAAAGGGGCAGAGAGGGCUGCACAGGCAGGUCAAACGGAGCAGACAGCUCCGUGUCUCAUUUCCUGCUUCUCACUCCAAUUACUUUUCACUCCGGCGCACUCACACACACACGUCUACACAACACAUUUACUCUCGGCCGCUCUCUCACACAUACACUCACACUCCAACACGCGGAGCUGUCACGAAGACGUCUCGUCCAUCCUCCUUCGAGACAAACACAUAUACACACACAGGAGGGCGCCGCUGUGCUGUUUCUCCCGACGCCGUACUCGGGGAGGGUGACCCCGCUCCCUCUCCUCCCCCCGCGCCGCGCUCGGCCAACCCUUCCCGCCGUCACCCGGCGACGCCACACUAGCCUUCGGCCGACGACGCGGAGGGAUGUUAGUUUUGCAUUCUAU